rnacentral:rRNA from 1 species
AAAAUUUAAAAUUAAGAUACUGAAAUAGUAAAUAAAUAUUUAUUGAAACUUAAAUAAUUUGGCGGUAUUUUAGUUCAUUUAGAGGAAUCUGUUUAAUAAUUGAUAUUCCACGAAUAAAUUUACUUAAUUUAUGAUUUUGUAUAUCGUUGUUAUAAAAAUAUUUUUUAAUAAAAUUAAUAUUUAAAAAUUAAUAUUAAAAUUUAAAUCAAAUCAAGAUGCAGAUUAUAAUUAAGAAUAUAAUGGAUUACAAUAAAUUUAUUUAAGUGAAUUUUAAUUUGUAAUAAUUAUUUGAAAUUGGAUUUAAAUGUAAUUUUAUUUAAUUUAAUAAAAUGAUUAAAAAUUAAAAUAUGU